rnacentral:tRNA from 1 species
AGUAGGAUGGCUGAAAAUAAGGUGAAAGAUUGUAAAUCUUUUUAUGAAUUAAAAUUCUCUUACUA